UACGGAGGAUCCAAGCGUUAUCCGGAAUUAUUGGGCGUAAAGAGCGCGCAGGUGGUUGAUUAAGUCUGAUGUGAAAGCCCACGGCUUAACCGUGGAGGGUCAUUGGAAACUGGUCGACUUGAGUGCAGAAGAGGGAAGUGGAAUUCCAUGUGUAGCGGUGAAAUGCGUAGAGAUAUGGAGGAACACCAGUGGCGAAGGCGGCUUCCUGGUCUGUAACUGACACUGAGGCGCGAAAGCGUGGGGAGCAAACAGGAUUAGAUA
rnacentral:rRNA from 1 species